GGGGUUGUGAAAGGUGUUUUUGUAAUUCGAAAUGGACUAAAUUAAAACUGGAAACUAAAUACAAUCACACAUAAUUGAAAACAUUGAAACAGUAAAUUGAACAAAGCAUGAAGACCGAACAGUCCUANAGAUGACCGANCGGUUCUACAUUGAGACCAAACUAUCUCUAAAGCAAGUGAGGAAAUUGGAAAUGCAAGAAAAUAAAGAAACCUGAUAGAACAAACAUCAUAGUGAACUAAAACAAUAAACCCAACAUAAUAGAGAACAUCAAAGUAAAUG
rnacentral:lncRNA from 1 species